UGGCAGCACUGCCCUGGCACCAAAGGAGCUGAUAAGACGCACGGAAACACCGUGUCAGGGGCUGUGCAGCCACGCUAAUGCUACAUUUAGAUGCAAGAAUUUGACAGCUUCAUUACUGUGAUUGUCCCUGAGCACUUAUGUAAGGAAAGAGAACUCCCAAGAAAACAGAAAUCUGUCUGCCUAUGCUUUCCUAGUACUCCGAUUACAAACAAGGCUCUCGUGAUAGAGAGUGAACCAACAGGAAACAUUCUAUAAGAAAUAUUUAUCCAGCAAACGGCAUGUGGAAGCUGUUUCCCUGUGUUCCCUAAGUCCCAGGUUUCGGACGCUCUGUGCCUCCCUCUCGGUGUCUGAUGAGCUGGGGUGUCUUCCUCGUCCAUCUUCCCCACUGCCUGUGUGGAGGGUCCCGGGCUGGGGCUCUUGCUGGGAGGCCUUCUCAGGACGCAGCUCCCCGCCAAGGGCUGCAUCUCUGCUGCCCGGUCCUGCAGCUCCGCGCUCAGCUGUCCGGACUAUUUUGAAAUCCACCUAAUGGCCUUAGGGGAGAGAAAACAAUGCCCUUUGUGUGUCCCACUAUGAUGACUGUCAUCUUCUCUCAUCUUUCCUCCCUUUUCUGGCCAGAGUUUCUUCAGCAACCCACAGCCCCCUUAUUUCCUGUGUUCCACUGCACUUACUUAACAACCGAUUUGCCAAUUAUAGUCUGGCCUAAUUAUAGCUGUGUUCCAUGUGGUUGUAACCAGAGUGUCCAUCUACUUCGGUAUUCUGAUUUUUUCAUUUAACUUUAUAUAGAAAAUUACGUUGCCUUACUCCUACAUUGUCUCCAAUAAAAAUUUUUAUAUUGACUUCAUAGUUAGAUGACAUCAAGGAGAAAUAUUAUGGUUUACUUCCAAAAUAAUGCUGAAUUAAAGAUUUUGUGAACAAAGUUUUUCUCUUCAUCUGGAUUAUUUCCACUGGCUAGACUGCCUGAGUUGGCAUUUAAGGAUAGAAGAAAUGACCGCGUUAUGGCUUGCUCAGAUCUUUCAAUAUGUCACCGUGUUGCACUACAGGUCAUACGUUGAUUUUACACGCUCCAGUUUUCUUUUUAUUUUUUUCCCCUACAGGCUGUUCUCCCCACCAGCUCCCAGGCCCACAGCAUCUAUGCCUGAGCUCCUCAGCAUUUGGAGAGGAGGUGGCCACUGGUUGUACUGACCCCAGACCACUGUCAUAGGGUUACACCACAUUUCCCAUCUCCACCUGCAGUUAGUUGAGGCCAUGUGACUGAAUUCCGGCCAAUGGAAUGUGAGCAGAAGAGAUGCGUGCUGCUUCCAGGCUCAGCUCACAAAAAUCUGCCAUUGUGGUCCCCCUUGUUCAUUCCCCUUCUGCGAGUUCCCCCUGGAAGCCACAUGUUAAGGAUGGUGAAACCACAAAGUGGAAGGAAACUUGGUCCCCGAAUCACAGCUUGAAGGAGAGAUUUAUGCCUGUUAGAAACACUCGCUUUGGACUUUACAUGAGUGAGAAGUAUACUUCUAUUUUGUUAAGCCAUGAGAUUCUUGGGUUUAUCUAUUAAGGCAGCUGGCAUUAACUAAAAUAUCAUGUAAAGCAUUCUGCAUAAUACCUGACAAAAUACCUGCUGAAUAAAUGUUAGUGUUAUUGGUAUCAUGACUCUUAAUAAUACAAACCUAGAGCCUAAAACUCCACAGCAAUAGUGUGGAGCUCCCUUCUGCAGUAUACAUGACUUGGCCUUUCUUUUUAGGCUACAGAAGGUCUAGGAAAUAAAGUUGUAUGUGGAAGUAGUAAAAACCAGAGUUAUUCAUAUGUGUAACUUGC
rnacentral:lncRNA from 1 species